CAGUCACACAUACACACUUGCAUGUAUGCACACAGAGCCGCCCAAUCUGGCAUUCUUAUUAGUUUAUGCCACUCAGCCAGUGAAGAGUAUGACGUACAAGCGCAUAUGUUGCUAUGCGAAUAGGCAAAUGCAAAACUAUGCGAACUUUCGAACAAUGCAAGGCUCAAAAGCUGAUACUUUCAGACAUCAGCGCAUCAGA